rnacentral:rRNA from 1 species
UACGUAGGGUGCAAGCGUUAAUCGGAAUUACUGGGCGUAAAGCGUGCGCAGGCGGCUUUGCAAGACAGAUGUGAAAUCCCCGGGCUUAACCUGGGAACUGCAUUUGUGACUGCAUGGCUAGAGUGCGGCAGAGGGGGAUGGAAUUCCGCGUGUAGCAGUGAAAUGCGUAGAUAUGCGGAGGAACACCGAUGGCGAAGGCAGCUCGCUGGGACGGUACUGACGCUGAGGCGCGAAAGCGUGGGGAGCGAACAGG